rnacentral:rRNA from 1 species
GAUGAACGCUAGCGGCAGGCUUAAUACAUGCAAGUCGAGGGGCAUCAGGGGUAGCAAUACUCGCUGGCGACCGGCAAACGGGUGCGGAACACGUACAGAACCUUCCUUUAAGUGGGGGAUAGCCCAGAGAAAUUUGGAUUAAUACCCCGUAACAUUAUGGAGUGGCAUCACUUUAUAAUUAUAGAUUAAUCGCUUAAAGAUGGCUGUGCGGCUGAUUAGGUAGUUGG